GUCUAUGGCCACACCACCCUGAAUGCGCCCGAUCUCAUCUGAUCUUGGCAGCUAAGCAGGGUCAGGCCUGGUUAGUACUUGGAUGGGAGAACAAACGACAACACUGGUAGUGUCUACU
ensembl:rRNA 5S_rRNA 5S ribosomal RNA